UAAAGCGCGCGCAGGCGGUUUCUUAAGUCUGAUGUGAAAGCCCCCGGCUCAACCGGGGAGGGUCAUUGGAAACUGGGGAACUUGAGUGCAGAAGAGGAGAGUGGAAUUCCACGUGUAGCGGUGAAAUGCGUAGAGAUGUGGAGGAACACCAGUGGCGAAGGCGACUCUCUGGUCUGUAACUGACGCUGAGGCGCGAAAGCGUGGGGAGCGAACAGGAUUAGAUACCCUGGUAGUCCACGCCGUAAACGAUGAGUGCUAAGUGUUAGAGGGUUUCCGCCCUUUAGUGCUGCAGCAAACGCAUUAAGCACUCCGCCUGGGGAGUACGGUCGCAAGACUGAAACUCAAAGGAAUUGACGGGGGCCCGCACAAGCGGUGGAGCAUGUGGUUUAAUUCGAAGCAACGCGAAGAACCUUACCAGGUCUUGACAUCCUCUGACAACCCUAGAGAUAGGGCUUCCCCUUCGGGGGCAGAGUGACAGGUGGUGCAUGGUUGUCGUCAGCUCGUGUCGUGAGAUGUUGGGUUAAGUCCCGCAACGAGCGCAACCCUUGAUCUUAGUUGCCAGCAUUCAGUUGGGCACUCUAAGGUGACUGCCGGUGACAAACCGGAGGAAGGUGGGGAUGACGUCAAAUCAUCAUGCCCCUUAUGACCUGGGCUACACACGUGCUACAAUGGGCAGAACAAAGGGCAGAGAAGCCGAGAGG
rnacentral:rRNA from 1 species